rnacentral:rRNA from 1 species
AACAGGUGCUCAUUCCGCAUAACAAUCGAAACCGCAUGGUUUUGAUUUGAAAGGCGCUUUCGGGUGUCGCUGAUGGAUGGACCCGCGGUGCAUUAGCUAGUUGGUGAGGUCACGGCUCACCAAGGCCACGAUGCAUAGCCGACCUGAGAGGGUGAUCGGCCACAUUGGGACUGAGACACGGCCCAAACUCCUACGGGAGGCAGCAGUAGGGAAUCUUCGGCAAUGGACGAAAGUCUGACCGAGCAACGCCGCGUGAGUGAAGAAGGUUUUCGGAUCGUAAAACUCUGUUGUUAGAGAAGAACAAGGAUGAGAGUAACUGUUCAUCCCUUGACGGUAUCUAACCAGAAAGCCACGGCUAACUACGUGCCAGCAGCCGCGGUAAUACGUAGGUGGCAAGCGUUGUCCGGAUUUAUUGGGCGUAAAGCGAGCGCAGGCGGUUUCUUAAGUCUGAUGUGAAAGCCCCCGGCUCAACCGGGGAGGGUCAUUGGAAACUGGGAGACUUGAGUGCAGAAGAGGAGAGUGGAAUUCCAUGUGUAGCGGUGAAAUGCGUAGAUAUAUGGAGGAACACCAGUGGCGAAGGCGGCUCUCUGGUCUGUAACUGACGCUGAGGCUCGAAAGCGUGGGGAGCAAACAGGAUUAGAUACCCUGGUAGUCCACGCCGUAAACGAUGAGUGCUAAGUGUUGGAGGGUUUCCGCCCUUCAGUGCUGCAGCUAACGCAUUAAGCACUCCGCCUGGGGAGUACGACCGCAAGGUUGAAACUCAAAGGAAUUGACGGGGGCCCGCACAAGCGGUGGAGCAUGUGGUUUAAUUCGAAGCAACGCGAAGAACCUUACCAGGUCUUGACAUCCUUUGACCACUCUAGAGAUAGAGCUUCCCCUUCGGGGGCAAAGUGACAGGUGGUGCAUGGUUGUCGUCAGCUCGUGUCGUGAGAUGUUGGGUUAAGUCCCGCAACGAGCGCAACCCUUAUUGUUAGUUGCCAUCAUUCAGUUGGGCACUCUAGCAAGACUGCCGGUGACAAACCGGAGGAAGGUGGGGAUGACGUCAAAUCAUCAUGCCCCUUAUGACCUGGGCUACACACGUGCUACAAUGGGAAGUACAACGAGUUGCGAAGUCGCGAGGCUAAGCUAAUCUCUUAAAG